GCAUGGGUUUGGAUUUAUGGCAUUGCCGUCCCCCUGGGCCUCUCGUGUCCCAUGCCAUAGCAAGCUGUGGGCCUGAACCAUUGCCUGGCUCUAGCUAGUGGGCUGUGUGCACUGAAGCGGGUCACACAGUG